GGACCCCGGCCCCUUCUCGGCGUGGCGUGCCCCGCGCUCACCUUCCUGCCUGCGCUGCAUGCCGCUCCUGACCCCGCGCCUGCAUUUGUCUCGCAGUUGGGGUUGCACUCGGAGGAGAGGUGCCCCUUUCCCCCUCCCAAGGGGCUGUUUCUCCCCGCGCUUAAGCCAUGCUAACAGGCAGUAAGCGUCCUGUCUUUGGGCAGGUCCAACAGAUUCUUGAAGGUGGUCCCCCCCCCCCCCCCCCAAAGGAUCAUUGACGAUGGAGGCUAUUUCGUGCAGCAGACGGUAGUUUAGAAAUGGAGAGAGAAAAUCCGCAGCAUCUUUGCCAGUUGUCAGAUGGUGGAAACACAACAAAGGAACGGGCUUUUGAAACUUAUUUGGGGAAAGGUUGGUAAGAAGCCAAAAAUAUUCCAGGAUCUGACUUGGGUACUUGAUCCCCUACUUCAAGUAUUCUCGGCUCAAAAGUUAUUAAGGGCAUCAAGACGAUGACUUUUACGAGCUUUGAGUUUUGGUGCCAUGGAAAGAAUCCCCCCCUGGGGUAGGAGGUAGUGAAAACAUUUGUGGCCGGAUUUAAAAGAACAACAGCCUACAGUGUCUGUCAAGGUAUUCUGAGGCGAUUGAGAAGAUUUCAGCUUUACCUAAAAUAAGAAGAAAGCCACGCGUCCUCAGUUUUGUUUCUGAUGUGCUGGUUCUCCAUGGUUUUCCUCUUUUAUCCUUUUCUGGUUCAGCAUUCUGCUUUUCCUCAGUUGUACAAGUGAAUUGCUCUUAACAUCCCUUUUGUUUCAGGCCAGAUUUGUAGCACUUUUGUAGGUAGCAAAUAUAAUGUAAAUUUCCAGUGAGUUUUGCAAGGAAAAAACUGCCACUUAGCUCCUUGGCGAAUGGUCCUUCAAAUUUAUUAGCUGGUCUUGAUAGUUUUAAAAAGGAAAUAUUUUGGAAGCGAACAGAGAACCCAAAUGUGUGUCGUUACACUUGCUUUUUCUAUCUCAUUCUCAACUGAAAUCAUGGCCUUACUCAUUUUUUGGUAAAGAAUUUUGAUGUAAGUAUUCUUUCUUAAAGAUGUAGGUAUAAGGUAGUUUAGUACAUUUCAGAAACUAAAACUUGCCUCAUAGAUUUUUUUUGGAUGUGAUAGUUAGUUGUUGAUUGGUUAGGAAAAUAUUAAGUUGUUCUACUAACUUCAUUUGUUUCGUAAAAAAUAGUUUUUCAUUCCUAGUUACAGGUGUGUCUAAGUUAAGCUCCUUGCGUGCCUUCAAGAGUUUGUGGCUUCAGUCUCCCUGAAUCUGGAGUCCAGUCAGAGCUCGCUGCCUGUCACCCUGGCCCUCUGACCUUGGUCUGCUCACUUGACCUCUUCAAUCUGCUUUUCCAUCAGAGAGGUGUCCUCACCUGUGAAAUGAACAGCAGCGAGUCUGGCUGCAGAGAUGAGAUGAGGUGCUGGUGUGAAAGCUGAAAGCCCCCCCCCCCCAGAUAACUACCUUUAUGUGAGAUGCUAAAACUUGAGUGGUUGGUCAUAUUUCUCACAGUCGGGUAAUUAGGGGAAGUUUGCUAUCACUUGCAUAGUUGGGUGUGACUUGCAAAAAGGUUUCCUGGAUUAGCCUUGAAUCAAGUCCUUGGUGCUUCUGUUUUUAGUUCCUGACCCCAGUGUGUGGCUUGGAGCAGCAAUCCACUUUUCAUUAGUAAAAUGGGAAUUUGUUAGAAUUUGUGCUGCUUGUAACUUACAUAUUUUCCUACGAUAGCAAGCAAAUGUUUCUUUAAAUAAAUAAUAAAGCUAAGCUAUAUAUAAUGGUGUCUUUUAGGAGAGGAGUAGGAAGUGUAUCUCCUUUUCUUCACAGAACUCAGCCAGCAUCUGGCCUUUAGCCCCUCUUGACUGUGCUUGAGCUGGGGCUACCGGGAUCCUUUGGAUCCACUUCACUUCUCCACACCCAGGCCUCAGGACAUCCCCUCCUUAUGCCUCAGGGCAAGCUCUGCUCCCUGGGCCUCCAUUCACAGCCAGAAAAGAAGGUCAUGUGACAACAUGCUGCUAACCUUUGAAAACCAUUCUUAGAGUAGCAUUUGUCUUACGGAAUAUGGAAAUCUCCACUUGGGGUGGUGAGCAUGGAUCAUUAAGGAAAUGAACAGUGUGGAAGGUCCUUGAAUUCUGUCCUUGUUAAAAUGGUGGUGAGAUGCCCUAGGAGCCUGACUCUUGUAUAUAUCAAUAAGAUUAUGGUAAAAUUUCACUUAAAGUCACAAAAUGUAUCAACGAUGCUAAGUGAGAACUUCCUGUACUGGCAUUUUUCUUGUAUUUCUCUUCAGAAAAAUAUAAUUCCUGUUACGCUUAAGAAAUAAUCACAGUCUAGUCAUUGGAGGCCCCUUUGGUUGAUUACUUACUGCUCUUGCCGUUUCAGUCGUUGAGAACUUUGCAGUGAGAUCGGAGAACACUGGUGAGAGGGAAGUCCUCCUUGUUUUGCUUCUGUCCACACAACUAUGUUUUCUUUAUAAAAACUCUUGUCAACUUCAAUGAAAAAUAAAUUUUUCUAGUAUAA